rnacentral:rRNA from 1 species
GAUCAUGGCUCAGGAUGAACGCUAGCUACAGGCUUAACACAUGCGAGUCGAGGGGCAGCAUGGUCUUAGCUUGCUAAGGCCGAUGGCGACCGGCGCACGGGUGAGUAACACGUAUCCAACCUGCCGUCUACUCUUGGACAGCCCUCUGAAAGGAAGAUUAAUACAAGAUGGCAUCAUGAGUCCGCAUGUUCACAUGAUUAAAGGUAUUCCGGUAGACGAUGGGGA